UACGUAGGGCGCAAGCGUUGUCCGGAAUUAUUGGGCGUAAAGAGCUCGUAGGCGGUCUGUUGCGUCCGCUGUGAAAACUCGGGGCUUAACCCCGAGCCUGCAGUGGAUACGGGCAGACUAGAGGUAGGUAGGGGAGAAUGGAAUUCCCGGUGUAGCGGUGAAAUGCGCAGAUAUCGGGAGGAACACCGGUGGCGAAGGCGGCUUGCCAGAAUGCGCUCGACGGUGAGGGAUGAAAGCUGGGGGAGCAAACCGG
rnacentral:rRNA from 1 species